rnacentral:misc_RNA from 1 species
UAUGAUCAAAACAUUAAUACUACCUUAAAAGUUGUCGAACAGAACCUUCAUACGGCUCAUUACAGCGAGUUCAAAAUACAGCAAUGCCUGGAAAUCACAGUGCAACAAAAUCACUAAACCCAGCUAAGGCCAAAACCACACCACCAGUUCUCCAGGCAUCCCACAUUUUUGCCUCACAAAUUUCACUAACUUCAGCUUUUGUUUUUUCUUGAAAAAAAGAAAGACUAAAAGUGAAUAAAGAAGCAACACAACAAUAGGUUUACU